GGGAGCCGUUAGCAGGCUCCUGCUCUAGUACCACUCUGGGGAAAAAGCCUUGUGCUGGCUGCAUGAGAAAGCACGGGGGAAGCCCCUCAGUUGCCGUACUCCCUGCUACUGUUUUGUAUAUUUGAAUAUUUAUACUUAGUUUUUUUUGUGUGUUCUUUGUUUUUUCAGGGACCAUGUACAUCCGGACCCCCAACUGAACAUGAGUCUGAACAUGAGAGUGAAGAUGACUUUGACUAUUCUCAAUUUAGCCCAUGUACAACAAGGAAGAAGAAGAAAAGGGCAAAGCGGGGCACCGGGAGGCGUGUUGAGGAUUUUUGGAAGAGGAGGGGACAAUUUCACCAAUUCAGGAAGUGAACCCCUUCCCCCUCUGAGGAGAUAUUUUUAAAGAUUACAGGAAUAAGUUUUAUUUUGUAAAGGCUUUACUUAUUGAUGAGCUUAUAUUAUUUUAUAAUAAAGG